rnacentral:rRNA from 7 species
GGUUAAGCGACUAAGCGUACACGGUGGAUGCCCUGGCAGUCAGAGGCGAUGAAGGACGUGCUAAUCUGCGAUAAGCGCCGGUAAGGUGAUAUGAACCGUUAUAACCGGCGAUUUCCGAAUGGGGAAACCCAGUGUGAUUCGUCACACUAUCAUUAACUGAAUCCAUAGGUUAAUGAGGCGAACCGGGGGAACUGAAACAUCUAAGUACCCCGAGGAAAAGAAAUCAACCGAGAUUCCCCCAGUAGCGGCGAGCGAACGGGGAGGAGCCCAGAGCCUGAAUCAGCAUGUGUGUUAGUGGAAGCGUCUGGAAAGGUGCGCGAUACAGGGUGACAGCCCCGUACACAAAAGCGCAUGUGCUGUGAGCUCGAUGAGUAGGGCGGGACACGUGGUAUCCUGUCUGAAUAUGGGGGGACCAUCCUCCAAGGCUAAAUACUCCUGACUGACCGAUAGUGAACCAGUACCGUGAGGGAAAGGCGAAAAGAACCCCGGCGAGGGGAGUGAAAAAGAACCUGAAACCGUGUACGUACAAGCAGUGGGAGCACAGGUUUACCUGUGUGACUGCGUACCUUUUGUAUAAUGGGUCAGCGACUUAUAUUCUGUAGCAAGGUUAACCGUAUAGGGGAGCCGUAGGGAAACCGAGUCUUAACCGGGCGUUAAGUUGCAGGGUAUAGACCCGAAACCCGGUGAUCUAGCCAUGGGCAGGUUGAAGGUUGGGUAACACUAACUGGAGGACCGAACCGACUAAUGUUGAAAAAUUAGCGGAUGACCUGUGGCU